AAUGGCUCAUUAAAACAGUUAUAGUUUAUUUGGUGGUCAGCAAUUACAUGGAUAACCGUGGUAAUUCUAGAGCUAAUACAUGCGCCCAAACCCGACUUCGUGGAAGGGUUGUGUUUAUUAGAUACAGAACCAACCCAGGCUCCGCCUGGCCUUGAGGUGAUUCAUAAUAACCGAACGAAUCGCAUGGCUAUGCCGGCGAUAGACCAUUCAAGUUUCUGACCUAUCAGCUAUCGUCGGUAGGGUAUUGGCCUACCGUGGCAAUGACGGGUAACGGAGAAUUAGGGUUCGAUUCCGGAGAGGGAGCCUGAGAAACGGCUACCACAUCUAAGGAAGGCAGCAGGCGCGCAAAUUACCCAAUCCUGACGCAGGGAGGUAGUGACAAGAAAUAACAAUACAGGGCAUACAUGUCUUGUAAUUGGAAUGAGUAAACCUUAAAUCACUUUACGAGUAUCAAUUGGAGGGCAAGUCUGG
rnacentral:rRNA from 1 species